rnacentral:rRNA from 1 species
UACGUAGGGUGCAAGCGUUGUCCGGAAUUAUUGGGCGUAAAGAGCUCGUAGGCGGUUUGUCGCGUCUGCUGUGAAAACUCGGGGCUUAACUCCGGGCCUGCAGUGGGUACGGGCAGACUAGAGUGCGGUAGGGGAGACUGGAAUUCCUGGUGUAGCGGUGAAAUGCGCAGAUAUCAGGAGGAACACCGGUGGCGAAGGCGGGUCUCUGGGAAUGACCUGACGCUGAGGAGCGAAAGUGUGGGGAGCGAACAGG